UACGAAGGGGGCUAGCGUUGCUCGGAAUCACUGGGCGUAAAGCGCACGUAGGCGGAUUGUUAAGUCAGGGGUGAAAUCCUGGAGCUCAACUCCAGAACUGCCUUUGAUACUGGCGAUCUUGAGUCCGGGAGAGGUGAGUGGAACUGCGAGUGUAGAGGUGAAAUUCGUAGAUAUUCGCAAGAACACCAGUGGCGAAGGCGGCUCACUGGCCCGGUACUGACGCUGAGGAGCGAAAGCGUGGGGAGCAAACAGG
rnacentral:rRNA from 1 species